rnacentral:rRNA from 1 species
AACGAACGCUGGCGGCAUGCCUAACACAUGCAAGUCGAACGAGACCUUCGGGUCUAGUGGCGCACGGGUGCGUAACGCGUGGGAACCUGCCCUUAGGUUCGGAAUAACUUCCCGAAAGGGGUGCUAAUACCGGAAAAUGUCUUCGGACCAAAGAUUUAUCGCCUUUGGAUGGGCCCGCGUUGGAUUAGCUGGUUGGUAGGGUAAAAGCCUACCAAGGCGACGAUCCAUAGCUGGUCUGAGAGGAUGAUCAGCCACACUGGGACUGAGACACGGCCCAGACUCCUACGGGAGGCAGCAGUGGGGAAUAUUGGACAAUGGGCGGAAGCCUGAUCCAGCAAUGCCGCGUGAGUGAUGAAGGCCUUAGGGUUGUAAAGCUCUUUUACCCGGGAUGAUAAUGACAGUACCGGGAGAAUAAGCUCCGGCUAACUCCGUG